GCCCGCCAGAGAACUACAAGCAAAAGCUUAAAACCCAAAGGACUUGACGGUGUUCCACACUCAACCUAGAGGAGCCUGUCCUAUAAACGACACCACACGUUAUACCCCACCCCCACUUGUUUAUCAGCCUAUAUACCGCCGUCGCCAGUCUACCCGAUGACGGAAUCCAAGCCGACAAAAAAGCCUAUCACAAACACGUCAGGUCAAGGUGUAGCUCAUGUGGGGGACAGAGAUGGGCUACAUUUUCUAGCCUAGAAAACCACCAACCGCCAUAUGAAACACUGAUUACAAAGGAGGAUUUAGCAGUAAGAAAGAAUCAGAAGUGCCUUCCUGAA
rnacentral:rRNA from 1 species